rnacentral:lncRNA from 1 species
GCGUCUGUUCGUGGAAAAUUUUGCUGCAGGUGUCAGAAGCCUGCGUUGAACUCCGCUCAGGGUCUCUCUGUGUAAACCUGGCUAUCCUGAAACUCACUAUGUGGACCAGGCUAGUCUGGACCCCCCCCAGAGAUCUACUUGCCUCUGCUUUCAGAGUGCUGGAAUCAAAGAACCCAGGGAACUCCCUCAGAAGAGGAGCCAGAAAGAAUGUAAGAGCAGACAGGAUGGAGGACUGCAAGAAAGCAAGGCCCUCUAAAUCAACAUGAGCAGAGCUCAUAGGAACUCACAGAGACUGAGGCAGCGUGCACAGGGCCUGCAUGAGUCUGCACCAGGACCUCUGCACAUAUAUUAUGGCUUCUACUUUAAUGGGAUUCCUGAUGAGCAAAUGAAUGGGUCUUUGAUUCUUGUGCCUUCUGUUGGGCUCUUUUCCUUCUCUUACCCAACUUUGAUGUGAUAGUUUUUAUCUUAUUACAUUUGAUUUUGUUGUAUUUUA